rnacentral:tRNA from 1 species
UGAAAGGUACUUUAAAAAAAAGGAUGAGUUUGCGUCUUAAGAUUGGAGUUUUCCCCUUUC